CACCAUCCAAGCCACCCUCUUCCUGGUUAACAAGUGACUGUGGUUUCUCUGUCGAUGACAGCUGUAACCUUGCUCCUGCCUGUCCCACCUAGAGACAAGCUGCAGGAAGACACCUUGUCUUGGAUUCACCCUGGCUCCCCAGUAGCAUCUAUCUCACUGCCUGACUCCACAUUUGUGAACCUCCCUCAAAGCAGAGAACGGGAGGUCCAGCUUUAUGUUUUUCUACCAUGUCUUGCAGUUUGCUGUGGUUUGUUCUGGGGGAAAAACAGAAGCAAUGGAGAGCCCCAGGAGGCUUCCAAGGGAGAGACACAGUGCCAGCGUUUGGAAAAAAGAUCAUUCUUCUUGUGCACGCAAGGCCCCUCUGAACUGCUCUGGACGAUUUAUUCUGCACUGGACCACUGUGACCUGGACUGCACUUCUGGGAAACCUCUUACCUCGAGAAAGAAAGAAAGAAAGAAAAAAGCCUGUCAGAUCAUGCUCUGAAUAAUAACCUUGUUGGAAAAAAAGACAAAUAUGCAAUAGGAAAAAGACUGAUUCCCCCC